AACAUGUGUUUCUAUUUUGUUCCAUGCUUUAGUGUUUGUAUUUUGAGCAUUCAUGAUUGUACAUUUGUUGUAAAUUCAUCCCACAAAAUCGCAGGAGAGAGUGGGAGACAAAAACGUCAAUGGAAACCCUAUCUCCCACCGCCCUCUUCUCCAUCUUCCCGUCGCUCCUACAUCCGCUCCGGCACCUCCUUCACUCUCCUCAACAACGCAUCAACCUGGCCAUCGAUCAGUUGCCGAAUAUCUCACCAACAAAAGUGCCGAUUGACGAUCAAAUCGGUCCUAGAUUCAGCUUCAAUCGAUCAGUAUUUCGGACUCACGGAAUCAGACGCACGUAAUCCGACUUUGUCAACUUUGUUUAGGGUUCCGAUGCGUCGAAAACCUAAUCAGACGAUGUUAGAAGACGUCAGGGUUCCGCAUGCUAAACAUGCAGUUGUUUUCGCACAACUUGAAGUCAAUGGUACAUGCAUUUAUAGCCCAGAUCAGAUUUGAAGCUCUUAUGGCACCCUUGACAUCUGGUCGUGUGACAAUUGUAGCGAGUUCAAUGAACACGACAAAGGUACUCUCUAUAAGACGAGUCUUCUAUAUGAAACCAAAGGAGCCCGAGGUUCUUUUGCUUGAUUAUCCAAGCCAUAAAAGGCGGCUUUUAUCUCUUGUAGCAAAGACGUGCUGAUUGUUUGACGGUGGUGUUCUCCUUUCUUUUAUUUGUCUUCUAAAUUCCUCAUUGUCAAUUCUUUACUCAAGUUUCUCAGGUUCGUCAACCUCGAUUUUAGUAUUAAUUUGUUUGUGUUUUUAAUAACUUCUUUUUGAUGCUUUGUAUAGUUUGAUUGCUUGCAUAAGUGACCGCAAAUCCGUAGCAGUUUCGGUCAAUAAGAUCAUAAUGGUUUGAUAAUUUACAACUUUUGAAUGCUUAAUUGAUGUAUAAGAAUUAACAAUGGAGCGGGUUGUCUUUAGUUUGGUGGGCUUUGGUUGCGAACUGGAGGAAAGAAAACUUAGAGGGUAAGUAAUUAUAUUCAAGAUUUGAGAAUUGGCAGUGGUAAUUUCAAGUUAUAUUUGCAGAUGCAAGGAACAAUAAUGGAACCUCGACAACUUUGUUGACUAUGCACUCCAAUGAGGUUGCAAAAACGAGCCGGCUAGAACAAAAGAUCCAAAAAAUGGAACGCUCCUUAUGCUAUAAAUGUAGUUUUUGUUUUCGUAUGUAAAUGUAGAUUUGGCUUUUUUGUCUUGCAACUUUUUAUUUUGCAAUAAGAGAAUACAAUGAGACAUCAA